GUUAAUUGUUUAGAUCCCUUCGGGGGUGACGAACUUUUAACUUAGUGGCGGACGGGUGAGUAACGCGUGAAUAACCUGCCUUAUACUGGGGGACAACAGUUGGAAACGACUGCUAAUACCGCAUAAGCGCACGGAGCUGCAUGGCUCAGUGUGAAAAACUCCGGUGGUAUAAGAUGGAUUCGCGUCUGAUUAGCUAGUUGGUGAGGUAACGGCCCACCAAGGCGACGAUCAGUAGCCGGCCUGAGAGGGUGAACGGCCACAUUGGGACUGAGACACGGCCCAAACUCCUACGGGAGGCAGCAGUUAGGAAUAUUCGUCAAUGGGGGAAACCCUGAACGAGCAAUGCCGCGUGAGUGAUGACAGUCUUAUAGAUUGUAAAACUCUGUUGUAAAGGAAGAAUGCUUAUUAUAGGCAAUGAUAAUAAGGUGACGGUACUUUACCAGAAAGCCCCGGCUAACUACGUG
rnacentral:rRNA from 1 species